ACCUAAUCAUGUGGACAUUUACAGAGUAGAUCCCUAAAUCGCUCCCAGGUCUCAAAGAAAAGUUUCCCAACCAUCUGUGAAAAACUCGUGAAGGCUUUCUGAAGCU